CAAACGACUCUCGGCAACGGAUAUCUCGGCUCACGCAUCGAUGAAGAACGUAGCAAAAUGCGAUACUUGGUGUGAAUUGCAGAAUCCCGUGAACCAUCGAGUUUUUGAACGCAAGUUGCGCCCAAAGCCAUUCGGUUGAGGGCACGUCUGCCUGGGCGUCACAC
rnacentral:rRNA from 1 species